rnacentral:lncRNA from 1 species
AUUAAUUAACAAUCAAUUUUUUAAAAAAAAGCAAUCAAUCAUUUGAUUAAUUACUUUGUUUCUAUAUGUCAUUAUUGUUUGAUAUAACCUAAAAAAGGGCACAAGAAGCACAUUGAACUCUAUGUGAAUUUCAUUUCCUUGAUGUUUAAUCUAACCUAAAGGUUUGAGGACUCUUAACCAUACACCAAUAAUGGGCCUAGUCAUACUCAAUCAAUGUGACUUUAUUUUCUAAACAUCAUCUAAUAAAUAUAAUAUACAUUUUAGUAAUUACUUAGAACGGACAAAAAUAAAAUAUUAUUUUGAAAGUAUAAUACUGGCGGCUUUAACUUGCUUUUUUACUUAAUGUAAAAUAUUAUUUUAAAAGUAUAAUACUGUCGGUUUUAACUUGCUGUUUUCCUUAAUGGCUUGGUAACCAUGAUAAAGUUAAAUAAAAAAAUUGGCCAGAUUUUUGUCCCUUUUUAUUUCUUUUCAUUAUGUUUGUAAAUUUGGCCACAAACUUAACAAGUGAUUCGUUCUGAUAACUCGUGACACUCCGCGACAAAGUUUCUUCGUCGUACAUCACUUCAUUUAUAAUCACGAGUUUUAUAUUUCGUUAGCCUUUUUUUUUUCCCUAAAGUGACGUAGUAAUUUCAUUAAACAGCCAACAAUACAACACCACAUUACCCAACAGCAGAUUAGGACCGAUUUAAAAUACUAACACAAUAGCCCAAUCAGUCAUGCUGUUACUCUCACGCUAAAAUAAUUUAAGAAUAAUGAUACUUCAGUAAAGACAGAGUCAAUAAGUAUUUUUUUCAUUGAUAAUCAGGAUAAAAACAAACAGUCAUUUAUCUUAUCAUUUUAUUAUUUUAUUUCCAUCAUUAUUAUUCUCCCUCGAGAUGACGAGGGAAACUUUGUGAACUCCUGACUCACCUUAAAAUGCCAUGCAACAAAGAAAGAAGCAUUCCUUUGAAACUUAUCUAGAAAAUCUUCAGGUUGUUUCUGUGAACACAUUUUUUGAGAAAGUAAGAAGCAUUCCUAUGAAAUUUGUCCAGGAAAUCAUGAAACUCUUUCUAUGUACACAAAUUUUAUUUUUAUUUUUUAACAACAAAAAGUAAAUUCAUCCUCUAAUUGAUCUUCUUAAACAAAUUUUCAUUUUCCAUGUUUUAUUUAAUUUUUCUUUUGAUGUUGUCAGUGAUUUCUUUCAUGUAGAAAGUCGAAGAAAACUUAAAAUUUGAGGAUUUUUUUGGUAGUUUGCUUGCUUAAAAGUUGGUUCCAGAGUUGAUAAUGGUUGUCUUAAGUUUAUGUUGUUAGCCUAAUAAUCAAUCUCAUGGCUUCUAAAUACCCUCAAUUCCUGAACUAAUUUUUUAUUAUGAGUUAGUCUCAUGGACCUAACUUAUACUUAAAAAGUCAGCAAAAGAUUCAGGGAUUGCUAAUAUUAUUAGUCCAAUAAUUGAUCUUAGUUGGUAUUGAAUAUUUUCCCUACUGAAAAGAAGAGGAAGAAGUAAACUUGGGGGUGGACUGGCUGUGAUGAGAAUUCAAUAGGAGCUUGAAAAAGGGAGGGCAAAAAAGUAAAAAUCGAAUGGAUAAUAAUUACUAGUAAGGCAUUAGAUUUUGGACUUCAUCGUUUUUUUAAUACCUUAAUAAUUGGUUUUUAUGUACUUGAUUGUGACCAAUUCGUUUUAUAUACCUCAUUUUCAUUUUUAAUGAUAAAUUAUUUAUAACUAAAUUUUGAUAAAUUAGCAUUCAAUCCCAAACUUAGGUUUAACAUGCUAAAUUAAUAAUUUGAUAAGUUUAUACGAUAAUAUAUUAUUAAAAAAAGCUAUUGUUUUUAUAUAGGAUCUCAACACUACGUAAAUUAAUAUUACAUACACAUGUGAACUGGAGUAUUUUUCAGAUUUUUGAAGUCUAAAAAUAGACAAUAAAACAAAAUGUGAACACUUCUAGUCAAAGAGUAUUGAAGCGUAGUCGAAGAUAAUAGCUUUAUCUCAUUGUAAUCUUUUAUGUUAUCUUUAUUUAUUGAAGUGGGAGUGAAGAGUAUAGAUUCAUCUCACUCUAGUGUUUAUUUGCAUAUUUUAAGGGGGAAGUGAGAAUUUCACUCCUACCCCCACUCAUUUUUGGAGUGGUGAGUGAGAUUCCCACUCCUAUGUGGGGAGAUGAGAAUGGAAAUCCACUCUCACCUCUUC